rnacentral:rRNA from 1 species
UUGUUGGUAAGGUAAAAGCUUACCAAGGCUUCGAUCAGUAGCUGGUCUGAGAGGACGACCAGCCACACUGGGACUGAGACACGGCCCAGACUCCUACGGGAGGCAGCAGUGGGGAAUUUUGGACAAUGGGGGCAACCCUGAUCCAGCCAUGCCGCGUGAGUGAAGAAGGCCUUCGGGUUGUAAAGCUCUUUCAGCCGGAACGAAACGGUUACGGAUAACACCCGUGACUACUGACGGUACCGGAAGAAGAAGCACCGGCUAACUACGUGCCAGCAGCCGCGGUAAUACGUAGGGUGCGAGCGUUAAUCGGAAUUACUGGGCGUAAAGCGCGCGCAGGUGGUUUUGUAAGUCAGAUGUGAAAGCCCCGGGCUCAACCUGGGAACUGCGUUUGAAACUACAAGACUAGAGUGUGGCAGAGGGGGGUGGAAUUCCGCGUGUAGCAGUGAAAUGCGUAGAGAUGUGGAGGAACACCGAUGGCGAAGGCAGCCCCCUGGGUCAACACUGACGCUCAGGCACGAAAGCAUGGGGAGCAAACAGGAUUAGAUACCCUGGUAGUCCAUGCCCUAAACGAUGUCAACUAGUUGUCGGGCCUUUACGGGCUUGGUAACGUAGCUAACGCGUGAAGUUGACCGCCUGGGGAGUACGAUCGCAAGAUUAAAACUCAAAUGAAUUGACGGGGACCCGCACAAGCGGUGGAUUAUGUGGAUUAAUUCGAUGCAACGCGAAAAACCUUACCUACCCUUGACAUGUAUCGAAGCCCGCAGAAAAGCGGGGGUGCCCGAAAGGGAACGAUAACACAGGUGCUGCAUGGCUGUCGUCAGCUCGUGUCGUGAGAUGUUGGGUUAAGUCCCGCAACGAGCGCAACCCUUGUCAUUAAUUGCCAUCAUUUAGUUGGGCACUUUAAUGAGACUGCCGG